UACGUAGGGUGCGAGCGUUGUCCGGAAUUACUGGGCGUAAAGAGCUCGUAGGUGGUUUGUCGCGUUGUUCGUGAAAACUCACAGCUCAACUGUGGGCGUGCGGGCGAUACGGGCAGACUGGAGUACUGCAGGGGAGACUGGAAUUCCUGGUGUAGCGGUGAAAUGCGCAGAUAUCAGGAAGAACACCGGUGGCGAAGGCGGCUCUCUGGGCCUUACCUGACGCUGAGGAGCGAAAGCGUGGGUAGCGAACAGG
rnacentral:rRNA from 1 species